AGGGGGAGCCUGGACAAAAGGGACAGCGAGGGCUUAUAGGACUGCCUGGGAAAAAGGGCGAUCGAGGACCGGUCGGAAUCCCUGGUUUACCAGGCAAGGAUGGUGCUGUGGGAAUGAUGGGAAUGCCCGGUGUGGGUAUACCAGGUGUUCCUGGCCCCCAGGGAGAGAAUGGCAGCAAAGGAAAAGAAGGAGAAAAGGGACAAAUGGGAGAAAAAGGGAGUCCUGGUACUGAAGGAAAAGAGGGCCCAGUGGGAGAUAUGGGACCACG